GAUCCUGCCAGUAGCAUAUGCUUGUCUCAAAGAUUAAGCCAUGCAAGUCUAAGUACACAUGGCCGGUACAGUGAAACUGCAAAUGGCUCAUUAAAUCAAAACAGCAUCGUCUAGGGAAAGC